rnacentral:rRNA from 1 species
ACGAACGCUGGCGGCGUGCCUAAUACAUGCAAGUCGAACGAGAGCGACCGGUGCUUGCACUGGCCAAUCUAGUGGCGAACGGGUGAGUAACACGUGGGUAACCUGCCCAUCAGAGGGGGAUAACAUCCGGAAACGGAUGCUAAAACCGCAUAGGUCUUCGAACCGCAUGGUUUGAAGAGGAAAAGAGGCGCAAGCUUCUGCUGAUGGAUGGACCCGCGGUGCAUUAGCUAGUUGGUGAGGUAACGGCUCACCAAGGCCGUGAUGCAUAGCCGACCUGAGAGGGUGAUCGGCCACAUUGGGACUGAGACACGGCCCAAACUCCUACGGGAGGCAGCAGUAGGGAAUCUUCCGCAAUGGACGCAAGUCUGACGGAGCAACGCCGCGUGAGUGAAGAAGGUUUUCGGAUCGUAAAACUCUGUUGUUAGAGAAGAACAAGUGCUAGAGUAACUGUUAGCGCCUUGACGGUAUCUAACCAGAAAGCCACGGCUAACUACGUG